GAUGUGAUGCCAAUCCCUAAAGCCCCUCUCAGUUCGGAUCGAAGUCUGCAACCCGACUUCGUGAAGCUGGAUUCGCUAGUAAUCGCGCAUCAGCCACGGCGCGGUGAAUACGUUCCCGGGCCUUGUACACACCGCCCGUCAAGCCAUGGGAGCCGGGGGUACCUGAAGUACGUAACCGCAAGGAGCGUCCUAGGGUAAAACUGGUGACUGGGGCUAAGUCGUAACAAGGUAGC
rnacentral:rRNA from 1 species